GACGAACCGUGCAAACGUUGUUCGGAAUCACUGGGCUUAAAGGGCGCGUAGGCGGGCAAGCAAGUCGAGUGUGAAAGCCCCCGGCUCAACUGGGGAGGGUCAUUCGAUACUGAUCGACUUGAAGGCAGGAGAGGGAAGUGGAAUUCCCGGUGUAGUGGUGAAAUGCGUAGAUAUCGGGAGGAACACCAGUGGCGAAGGCGACUUCCUGGCCUGUUCUUGACGCUGAGGCGCGAAAGCUAGGGGAGCAAACGGG
rnacentral:rRNA from 1 species